GACGAACGCUGGCGGCGUGCUUAACACAUGCAAGUCGAACGGAAAGGCCCUGCUUUUGUGGGGUGCUCGAGUGGCGAACGGGUGAGUAACACGUGAGUAACCUGCCCUUGACUUUGGGAUAACUUCAGGAAACUGGGGCUAAUACCGGAUAGGAGCUCCUGCUGCAUGGUGGGGGUUGGAAAGUUUCGGCGGUUGGGGAUGGACUCGCGGCUUAUCAGCGUGUUGGUGGGGUAGUGGCUUACCAAGGCUUUGACGGGUAGCCGGCCUGAGAGGGUGACCGGCCACAUUGGGACUGGGAUACGGCCCAUACUCCUACGGGAGGCAGCAGUGGGGAAUAUUGCACACUGGGCGGAAGCCUGAUGCAGCAACGCCGCGUGCGGGAUGACGGCCUUCGGGUUGUAAACCGCUUUCGCCUGUGACGAAGCGUGAGUGACGGUAAUGGGUAAAGAAGCACCGGCUAACUACGUG
rnacentral:rRNA from 1 species